rnacentral:rRNA from 1 species
GACGAACGCUGGCGGCGUGCUUAACACAUGCAAGUCGAACGGAAAGGCCCUGCUUUUGUGGGGUGCUCGAGUGGCGAACGGGUGAGUAACACGUGAGUAACCUGCCCUUGACUUUGGGAUAACUUCAGGAAACUGGGGCUAAUACCGGAUAGGAGCUCCUGCUGCAUGGUGGGAGUUGGAAAGUUUCGGCGGUUGGGGAUGGACUCGCGGCUUAUCAGCUUGUUGGUGGGGUAGUGGCUUACCAAGGCUUUGACGGGUAGCCGGCCUGAGAGGGUGACCGGCCACAUUGGGACUGAGAUACGGCCCAGACUCCUACGGGAGGCAGCAGUGGGGAAUAUUGCACAAUGGGCGGAAGCCUGAUGCAGCAACGCCGCGUGCGGGAUGACGGCCUUCGGGUUGUAAACCGCUUUCGCCUGUGACGAAGCGUGAGUGACGGUAAUGGGUAAAGAAGCACCGGCUAACUACGUGCCAGCAGCCGCGGUGAUACGUAGGGUGCGAGCGUUGUCCGGAUUUAUUGGGCGUAAAGGGCUCGUAGGUGGUUGAUCGCGUCGGAAGUGUAAUCUUGGGGCUUAACCCUGAGCGUGCUUUCGAUACGGGUUGACUUGAGGAAGGUAGGGGAGAAUGGAAUUCCUGGUGGAGCGGUGGAAUGCGCAGAUAUCAGGAGGAACACCAGUGGCGAAGGCGGUUCUCUGGGCCUUUCCUGACGCUGAGGAGCGAAAGCGUGGGGAGCGAACAGGCUUAGAUACCCUGGUAGUCCACGCUGUAAACGGUGGGUACUAGGUGUGGGGUCCAUUCCACGGGUUCCGUGCCGUAGCUAACGCUUUAAGUACCCCGCCUGGGGAGUACGGCCGCAAGGCUAAAACUCAAAGGAAUUGACGGGGCCCCGCACAAGCGGCGGAGCAUGCGGAUUAAUUCGAUGCAACGCGUAGAACCUUACCUGGGUUUGACAUGGAUCGGGAGCGCUCAGAGAUGGGUGUGCCUCUUUUGGGGUCGGUUCACAGGUGGUGCAUGGCUGUCGUCAGCUCGUGUCGUGAGAUGUUGGGUUAAGUCCCGCAACGAGCGCAACCCUUGUUCACUGUUGCCAGCACGUUAUGGUGGGGACUCAGUGGAGACCGCCGGGGUCAACUCGGAGGAAGGUGGGGAUGGCGUCAAGUCAUCAUGCCCCUUAUGUCCAGGGCUUCACGCAUGCUACAAUGGCUGGUACAGAGAGUGGCGAGCCUGUGAGGGUGAGCGAAUCUCGGAAAGCCGGUCUCAGUUCGGAUUGGGGUCUGCAACUCGACCUCAUGAAGUCGGAGUCGCUAGUAAUCGCAGAUCAGCAACGCUGCGGUGAAUACGUUCCCGGGGCU